rnacentral:lncRNA from 1 species
CCCUAUCCACUAGGUUCACACAAGUCCUGAGCUCAAUGCCGCUUGAUGACAUUAGCUCUCCAAUUCACAUGAUAUCAAGUUCGAUGCCUACAUAUAUAGCAAUUGUCAUCUUUCAUGUCUCAAUUAAACUUAUGUUUAAACGCAUGAAUCAUAGCUCAUUUACUCUAUAGAAACAUGAAACCAAAUCUCAUAUAGAAUGCUAAAUGCAACCAACUCUCUCUCAAGCAACUCUCUACUACAUAGAGGUCCAAAAUUUCAUUACAUAUAACAUGGGCAUUUUAAGCACUCUAAAAUUCAUAAUAAAUACAUUUAAUAUGAAAAUGCAUGAGUUAUUAGUAAACAAAGCACUUAUCACCAAAUAUGAGAUUUUCUCAUAUCAAAGGCUAGGUCAAACCCACCAAAAUCGAAACUUUUGUUUCGCCGAACGGAGAUUUCCACAAGCUUUCUAGCACCCUAGGAACAUCAAAAAUGGUGUCAUCCAAUCGAUACGAAGAGCAAUAAGCUCAAUCUUUAACCUAGAAGCAAAAGGGCCAAAACUCACCUCAAGAGUAGAAAUCUUCUCCUAAGCUCCAAAAGAGAGCUAGAACCCUUCCAAUCCAAGCCCUAGGAAGGUUCUAAACCAACCAAUCAAGCCUCAAAAGCCCUAGGUUCAAAAAGCCCAAAAACAAGCCCUAAGUCUCAAAACUAGGGUUUCAUCUCAAAGAAAGCUCUAAAAUCCAAAACUAGAGGAAAGGAUCUUGCCACUUACCUCUUAGAAGCCUCAAAACCAGCUCAAAGUCCUCAAACUUCAAGUAUCUUCCCUCAAUCAAACUCCAAACCCAAGCUCCAAGCUUCAAAAAUGGUGGAAAUAGCUCCAAUAGGCAAAAGAGAGGGAAAAACCAUCAAAAUCCAAGCUAGAAUGAGAUCAAAUCCAAAAGGUGGAGGGGAGAGGUGCCCUACCUGGUUCUCC